rnacentral:rRNA from 1 species
UACGGAGGAUCCAAGCGUUAUCCGGAAUCAUUGGGUUUAAAGGGUCCGUAGGCGGCCCAGUAAGUCAGUGGUGAAAUCUCCCGGCUCAACCGGGAAAUUGCCAUUGAUACUGCUGGGCUUGAAUUACCAGGAAGUAACUAGAAUAUGUAGUGUAGCGGUGAAAUGCUUAGAGAUUACAUGGAAUACCAAGUUGCGAAGGCAGGUUACUACUGGUGGAUUGACGCUGAUGGACGAAGCGUGGUAGCGAACAG